CCAAGGAGUNUAACAUGUGUGCGAGUCAGUGGGACUUGAAUAAGCCCAGAGGCGCAAUGAAAGCAAAGGCCGCGGAAAGAAAGAUCCGCGGUCGAGCCGAGAUCCCCGCACGACAUAGCAACGGCGGGGCGCAUCGGCGACCCGUCCCGUCYGACACGUUCGGUGGGGCGGAGUUUGAGCAUACACGUUGGGACCCGAAAGAUGGUGAGCUAUACCUGGGCAGGACGAAKCCAGAGGAAACUYUGGUGGAGGUCCGCAGCGGUUCUGACGUGCAAAUCGAU
rnacentral:rRNA from 1 species